rnacentral:rRNA from 1 species
CAGCCGCCGCGGUAAUACGAAGGGGGCUAGCGUUGUUCGGAUUUACUGGGCGUAAAGGGUGCGUAGGCGGACUGAUAAGUCAGGGGUGAAAUCCCAAGGCUCAACCUUGGAACUGCCUUUGAUACUGUUAGUCUUGAGUUCGAGAGAGGUGAGUGGAACUGCGAGUGUAGAGGUGAAAUGCGUAGAUAUCGGAAGGAACACCUGUGGCAAAAGCGGCUCACUGGACCAUUUCUGACGCUGAUGCACGAAAGCUAGGGGAGCAAACAGGAUUAGAUACCCGCGUAGUCCCUGUCUCUUAUAC